rnacentral:rRNA from 1 species
UACGUAGGGUGCGAGCGUUGUCCGGAUUUAUUGGGCGUAAAGAGCUCGUAGGCGGCUUGUCGCGUCGGAUGUGAAAGCCCGGGGCUUAACUCCGGGUCUGCAUUCGAUACGGGCAGGCUAGAGUGUGGUAGGGGAGAUCGAAUUCCUGGUGUAGCGGUGAAAUGCGCAGAUAUCAGGAGGAACACCGGUGGCGAAAGCGGAUCUCUGGGCCAUUACUGACGCUGAGGAGCGAAAGCGUGGGGAGCGAACAGG